GUUAAAACAUGUUAUUUUCGGCCAGUGUGAACAUAGUAUUACACGCUGCCAAAAAAAAAAACCCAACGGUUGACUUAAAUUUACCUAACAUGAAGUAAUCAAGCAUGUUUUUUAUUGUUGGGUGAAAAGUACUGUAUCGAUUGAGUAGUUUUCACUCAACAGUUUAGUUUACUUCAAUAAGUUGCUGUUGGGUGAAAAUAAUUUUGUGUGUUGCAUGGCAGAAACUAUCGGUCAGAUUUGGAGCAUUACUCUCACGGUCGAAUCUCUAAAUAUACGUGCUUUUUGUUUAUAGGUACAACAAGCUUUUGAAAGGCUUCAACAACUUUGGAUUGAUGCUCGAUUGUAAAUGGAGAGAUGUGGAAAACAAGUAUGUGAGAGGAACAUUGCGGAUACUGAAAAAAUUAACUAACCGUGGAAUUAAACGUACAGCAGAUGAUGAUAAAUUAUCAGUCGAAGAGAUUCUGGCUACACCUUUGAUUAAAUGAAUACAGAUGGUUCCUGGCAAAACAGACUACGAGGUCGUCAAACAAUAUAGUGAAUUAGCAUGCAUGCCGCACAUUGUAUGUGUGGCACCGGUAUUUAACGAAGGACCUAUGUUUAUUGUAUUUGAUAAAAAUAUUUUGCCUUGCGGUCAUCGAUAUAUAGAGACUAUAGACACAUUUUUCAAAAUUUUUGAAGCUAAGAAAAUUAAGAAAAUUAUUCGAUUUUGUUAGUUUUUUAUAAACAACAAUAGUCUGUAGAUCUAAUACUGUUGCAGCUCUAAUUGCAAAAUACAAUGAACAUGAAUUCCCAUAAAUGUGCGAACAGAUUUAAUUUUCAUUACAUUGUUGAAAUAUGUAAAAUGAUAAAUAUUGAAUAA